UCCUGAUGACAUUGUUUGAACCCAGA
rnacentral:piRNA from 1 species